UACGUAGGUGGCGAGCGUUGUUCGGAAUUACUGGGCGUAAAGGGCUCGUAGGCGGCCAACUAAGUCGGAUGUGAAAUCCCCAGGCUUAACCGGGGAACUGCGUCUGAUACUGGAUGGCUUGAGAUUGGGAGAGGGAUGCGGAAUUCCAGGUGUAGCGGUGAAAUGCGUAGAUAUUGGGAAGAACACCGGUGGCGAAGGCGGCGAGCUGGUCCAUUACUGACGGCUGAGGCGCGACAGCGUGGGGGAGCAAACAGG
rnacentral:rRNA from 1 species